GGUCGGUGAGCUCAGCUGGUGAGAGCGUGGUGCUGAUAACGCCAAGGUCGUGGGUUCAAUCCCGCACUGACCA